rnacentral:rRNA from 1 species
UACAGAGGGUGCGAGCGUUAAUCGGAAUUACUGGGCGUAAAGCGCGCGUAGGCGGCUUUGCAAGUCGGGUGUGAAAUCCCCAGGCUUAACCUGGGAACUGCAUUCGAGACUGCAUUGCUAGAGUAUGGGAGAGGGAAGUGGAAUUUCCGGUGUAGCGGUGAAAUGCGUAGAUAUCGGAAGGAACGCCCGUGGCGAAAGCGGGCGCCUGGACCCCACCUGACGCUGAGACGCGAAAGCCAGGGGAGCGAACGGG